rnacentral:rRNA from 1 species
UAAUACGUAGGGUGCAAGCGUUGUCCGGAAUUACUGGGCGUAAAGAGUUCGUAGGCGGUUUGUCGCGUCGUUUGUGAAAACUCACAGCUCAACUGUGAGCCUGCAGGCGAUACGGGCAGACUUGAGUACUGCAGGGGAGACUGGAAUUCCUGGUGUAGCGGUGAAAUGCGCAGAUAUCAGGAGGAACACCGGUGGCGAAGGCGGGUCUCUGGGCAGUAACUGACGCUGAGGAACGAAAGCGUGGGUAGCAAACAGGAUUAGAUACCCUGGUAGUCCACGCCGUAAACGGUGGGCGCUAGGUGUGGGUUCCUUCCACGGGAUCUGUGCCGUAGCUAACGCAUUAAGCGCCCCGCCUGGGGAGUACGGCCGCAAGGCUA